rnacentral:tRNA from 1 species
GCCAUUCAGACGACCGAAUGGCGUAGUGGUUAGUGGCCCUGACUGCUAUGCCGAAGGUCCCGGGUUCGAUUCCCGGCUGGGGCA